rnacentral:rRNA from 1 species
AUACGUAGGUGGCAAGCGUUAUCCGGAAUUAUUGGGCGUAAAGAGGGAGCAGGCGGCAGCAAGGGUCUGUGGUGAAAGCCUGAAGCUUAACUUCAGUAAGCCAUAGAAACCAGGCAGCUAGAGUGCAGGAGAGGAUCGUGGAAUUCCAUGUGUAGCGGUGAAAUGCGUAGAUAUAUGGAGGAACACCAGUGGCGAAGGCGACGAUCUGGCCUGCAACUGACGCUCAGUCCCAAAAGCGUGGGGAGCAAAUAGGAUUAGAUACCCUAGUAGUCCACGCCGUAAACGAUGAGUACUAAGUGUUGGAUGUCAAAGUUCAGUGCUGCAGUUAACGCAAUAAGUACUCCGCCUGAGGAGUACGUUCGCAAGAAUGAAACUCAAAUGAAUUGACGGGG